rnacentral:rRNA from 1 species
UACAGAGGUCUCAAGCGUUGUUCGGAUUCAUUGGGUUUAAAGGGAGCGUAGGCGGUCUUGUAAGUCAGUGGUGAAAUCUUUGGGCUUAACCCAGAAACUGCCAUUGAUACUGCAGGACUUGAGUACAGAUGCUGUGGGCGGAAUAUGACAUGUAGUGGUGAAAUACAUAGAGAUGUCAUAGAACACCGAUUGCGAAGGCAGCUCACAAAACUGUAACUGACGCUGAGGCUCGAAAGUGUGGGGAUCAAACAGG